rnacentral:rRNA from 1 species
GUGGAUUAGAUACCCGGGUAGUCCACGCCCUAAACGAUGCCAACUAGGUGUUGGGGAAGGAGACUUCCUUAGUACCGUAGCUAACGCGUGAAGUUGGCCGCCUGGGGAGUACGGUCGCAAGAUUAAAACUCAAAGGAAUUGACGGGGACCCGCACAAGCGGUGGAUGAUGUGGAUUAAUUCGAUGCAACGCGAAAAACCUUACCUACCCUUGACAUGCCAGGAAUCCCGGAGAGAUUUGGGAGUGCUCGAAAGAGAACCUGGACACAGGUGCUGCACGGCCGUCGUCAACU